GGCCUGAUAGCACAGUUGGUUAGUGUGUCUGCUAAAGAUAAAUAUCCCAUCUUUCUUGUGUAGAAGAUCCCUGUUCAAUUCGGGGUCAGGCCA